rnacentral:rRNA from 1 species
AGUGAACGCUGGCGGUAGGCCUAACACAUGCAAGUCGAACGGCAGCACAGUAAGCGUUUGCUCUUAAGGGUGGCGGGUGGCGGACGGGUGAGGCAUACAUCGGAUUCUACUUUUUCGUGGGGGACAACGUAGGGAAGCUUACGCUAAUACCGCAUACGACCUACGGGUGAAAGCAGGGGAUAUUCGGACCUUGCGCGAUUGAAUGAGCCGAUGUCGGAUUAGCUAGUUGGCGGGGUAAAGGCCCACCAAGGCGACGAUCCGUAGCUGGUCUGAGAGGAUGAUCAGCCACACUGGAACUGAGACACGGUCCAGACUCCUACGGGAGGCAGCAGUGGGGAAUAUUGGACAAUGGGCGCAAGCCUGAUCCAGCCAUACCGCGUGGGUGAAGAAGGCCUUCGGAUUGUAAAGCCCUUUUGUUGGGAAAGAAAAGCAGCAGGUUAAUACCCCGCUGUUCUGACGGUACCCAAAGAAUAAGCACCGGCUAACUUCGUG